GAUUCAGUAGGGCACAGUGGUUUGAGUGUUGGACUACAACUCCAGAGACCAGGGUUCAAGUCUCAGCUCAGCCA